CCUGUUCCUUGCUCCUCGCUCCUGUCCCGUUUGGCCUGCAGACCAGCAUGUGAGGCCUUAAGACUGCAGGAUGGGAAGUGAACACCUAAUAGUAGUAAAAGGAAGACCCCUGCUGGAUUGAGCUGGCUGGUGCCUCCUGACUCCAAUCCAGGGUUUUCAGGACAGGUGCUGUUGAUGCCAGAGGGCACCCUGGACCUCAUUUUUUUGUUUUGCAACCUCUCCUGCCUCAGAGGCCGGUCUGUUGUCCGUACUCGUCCCACGUCCAUGGUGCACUGGUCUGUUGACCUGUGGAUGUGACAGCCUGAUUCGCCUUUUAACCCCUGAGGUGCCAGUUAACUAGUUUGUUACCUAGUCUGGCCCUGUGGUAGAUGGGGUAGGAGGUUAGCCUAGCUGGUUUGGGAAGGGGAAUUGAGCCCGUAGCAAAAGUGGCACGGGAGGUGCACUCUCCUUCCCCUACUCUACCUGUCUUACCAGCCAGGAUUGCAGGCGCGUUGGCGUCUACGUCCGUAGCGCACUUCCCUCCACUCACCUUCCAUCAACUGAUUUUUUUCACGGUAUAUUUAAGUAAUUAUAGGUGGUUAUGUAUUUACAAUUGUUUUUAAUAAUAUAUUUAUAUGUAAUGAAAAUGUAUGCUUAUGCAAGUAUAUAUUCAGUUAUAAAUCAAUGACUUUAAAUGAAAUGAACUGAAAUGAAAACACAAUAAAUGAAUUGGUUUAUGGUUCAUGUAUUUAUUA